rnacentral:rRNA from 1 species
UCANGACGAACGCUGGCGGUGCGCCUAAUGCAUGCAAGUCGAACGAGCGACCCGGGCUUGCCCGGUUAGCUAGUGGCAGACGGCUGAGUAACACGUAAGUAAUUUGCCCCGAAGAGGGGGAUAAUCCAGAGAAAUCUGGCCUAAUACCCCGUACCUUUCUUUCCGGCCUGCCGGAUUGAAAGAAAGGCUCCGGCGCUUUGGGAGAAGCUUGCGGCUUAUCAGGUAGUUGGUGGGGUAAUGGCCUACCAAGCCUAAGACGAGUAACCGGUGUGAGAGCACGAUCGGUCAGAGGGGGACUGAGACACGGCCCCCACUCCUACGGGAGGCAGCAGCAGGGAAUCUUGCGCAAUGGGCGAAAGCCUGACGCAGCGACACCGCGUGGAGGAUGAAGGUCCUAGGAUUGUAAACUCCUUUUAUCAGGGAAGAGAAAGGACGGUACCUGAUGAAUAAGGUUCGGCUAACUACGUGCCAGCAGCCGCGGUAAUACGUAGGAACCGAGCGUUGUCCGGAUUUACUGGGCGUAAAGAGCGCGUAGGUGGUUUGUUAAGUCUCAUGUGUAAUCUCCCGGCUCAACUGGGAGGGGUCAUGGGAUACUGGCAGGCUUGAGGGUAGCAGAGGAAAGCGGAAUUCCCGGAGUAGUGGUGAAAUGCGUAGAUACCGGGAGGAACACCAGAGGCGAAGGCGGCUUUCUGGGCUAUUCCUGACACUGAGGCGCGAAAGCGUGGGGAGCGAACCGGAUUAGAUACCCGGGUAGUCCACGCCGUAAACGAUGGAUACUAGACAUUGGGGGUAUAGACCCCUCCAGUGUCGAAGCUAACGCGAUAAGUAUCCCGCCUGGGGAGUACGGCCGCAAGGCUAAAACUCAA